rnacentral:tRNA from 1 species
GCGCCUGUAGCUCAGUUGGAUUAGAGCGUUUGCUUGCGGAGCAAAAGGCCAGGGGUUCGAGUCCCUUCAGGCGCA